rnacentral:lncRNA from 1 species
CCGUGGCCGCGGCCGCGGGGGAGGGGCCGGCGUCAGCGCGUCGCCGGCUGGGCCGCGCCGGUGGCCAGGAGGGAGAGACGAGGAGGAGGAGGAGGUACCUCUGUAUUAGGGUGGAUUGGACAUUUCACAGAGAGUCUUCAGUGUAUCUGGAUCAUCAGGUUGCGCUUCAAGAAGACUAUAGGGAAGAACACAUUUUCUUCUUGCCACAGAAGUUGCAAUAGAAAGGUUUCCAUCAUUUGAAGGAUUAAUGACGACCACUCUGUUGAACUUGGAAGUAUCUUGUUAAUUUAUUGAACACUGCAUUAUUGAACACUGCAUUUGAGCCUUCAGCUGGCCUGAAAAAUUUGAAUUCUAGAUAUCUCAGCCUUUGAACUAAUUUCUUACCCACAAAACCUGAGGGACUCCCAAAAUCACAGUCAAAAGGUAAGCUGCUGAUGAGGAUUUGGACAACACCCGCUGCAUUUGAAAUGCACAUGUAUGCCCACCUU